GGCCUUAUCGUCUAGCCUGGUUAGGACGUCACCCUUUCACGGUGAAAACUCGGGUUCGAAUCCCGAUAAGGUCA
rnacentral:tRNA from 1 species